rnacentral:rRNA from 1 species
UUAAAGAGUUCUAUAACUCCCAAACCCAUGUGAACAUACCUAACGUUGCCUCGGCAGGUCGCACCUACCUUGUAGCACCCUACCCUGUAGGGCCUACCCGGGAGGUGCGGGUAAGCCUGCCGGCGGCCCACCAAACUCUGUUUGAUAUUGAAUUCUGAACCUAUAACUAAAUAAGUUAAAACUUUCAACAACGGAUCUCUUGGUUCUGGCAUCGAUGAAGAACGCAGCGAAAUGCGAUAAGUAAUGUGAAUUGCAGAAUUCAGUGAAUCAUCGAAUCUUUGAACGCAUAUUGCGCCCAUUAGUAUUCUAGUGGGCAGGACCGUUCGAGCGUCAUUUCAACCCUUAAGCCUUCGUUGCUUAGUGUUGGGAGCCUACGGCAACGUAGCUCCUCAAAGUUAGUGGCGGAGUUGGUUCACACUCUAGACGUAGUAAUUUUUUAUCUCGCCUAUUAGUUGGACUAAUCCCCUGCCGUAAAACCCCUAAUUUAUCAAGGUUGACCUCGAAUCGGUUCAGACAAACUCGCUAAAUUGAAGCAUCUUAGUCAGCGAAGGAAAAGAAACCAACAGGGAUUGCCCUAGUAACGGCGAGUGAAGCGGCAACAGCUCAAAUUUGAAAUCUGGCCCUCGGG